ACUAACAUCAUAUAGAACAUGACUAAGCAGAAUAAAUUGCGCGGGGAGACACGGUUGCGAAGAUAGCCCGAAGGUCGGGUUUCUAUAGAGGGAAGUUCAGGCGUGUAAUCUAGGAAGUUUAUGUUGUGAUCAGAAUAUUACGUUGAUGGAAAACGGGUCGUCCACUACCCCUGAUGGCAAAGAAAAAAAAAACUAGCCCACUCCCCCGGUCCGUUUCUCUCUCCCUCCGGCUGCUCGCAUCUCGCCAUUGCGGUUCCCCUCAAAAAAUAAAAAAUCUCGUCAAUGCGGAGGCAGCGGCAGCGAGCCAGCGACGGCGCCGGAGGGAUGGCCCAACGGCGAGGACUACCUCUUUCGCGUGUGGAGUAUUACCCUUUCCUCUCUCGUGCGGCAACGACUCGGAGGCACCGUGGGGGAUGCAAGAUCUGGGCGAAGCUCGGCAGUGACAGCGAUCUUCUCCGGCGUCCCUCUCCACUGUCGGCGUGCAGGGGAAGAGGAAGCAGACCAAGAAAGGAAAGGAAAGAUAAAUGAGGAGCUCGGGUGAUGGAGGUAACGCUCGAGACGGACUCCUGGCGGUGGGAUCAAUUCAAGGAGGAGAUGAAGGCCAUGUGGAUGACAUAGAAGAAGAGGAGAAGCUCAAGGCUGCGGAGAAAGGAACAACAGUAGAGUAUCAGACUUCAAUCUAGCUGAGAUCAAUUUUUGGUUGUCACGGGACAUAUGAAUACUCUACUGAUUUUGCUUUUGUUUAAGUUUCACGAAUUUUCAAUUUUUCAUCCUUUAGCAAUAAAUGAUGGUUCUGACU